UACGAAGGGGGCUAGCGUUGCUCGGAAUCAUUGGGCGUAAAGCGCACGUAGGCGGCCCGGUAAGUCCGUUGUGAAAGUCAGAGGCUCAACCUCUGGAGGCCAAUGGAUACUGCCGGGCUAGAGUCCGGAAGAGGCGAGUGGAAUUCCUGGUGUAGCGGUGGAAUGCGCAGAUAUCAGGAGGAACACCAAUGGCGAAGGCAGCUCGCUGGGACGGUACUGACGCUGAGGUGCGAAAGCGUGGGGAGCGAACAGG
rnacentral:rRNA from 1 species